rnacentral:rRNA from 1 species
UGACGCUGGCGGCAGGCCUAACACAUGCAAGUCGAGCGGAAACGAUCCUAGCUUGCUAGGAGGCGUCGAGCGGCGGACGGGUGAGUAAUGCAUAGGAAUCUGCCCGGUAGUGGGGGAUAACUUGAGGAAACUCAAGCUAAUACCGCAUACGCCCCAAGGGGGAAAGCAGGGGAUCUUCGGACCUUGCGCUAUCGGAUGAGCCUAUGUCGGAUUAGCUAGUUGGUGAGGUAAUGGCUCACCAAGGCCGCGAUCCGUAGCUGGUCUGAGAGGAUGAUCAGCCACAUCGGGACUGAGACACGGCCCGAACUCCUACGGGAGGCAGCAGUGGGGAAUAUUGGACAAUGGGCGAAAGCCUGAUCCAGCCAUGCCGCGUGUGUGAAGAAGGCCUUCGGGUUGUAAAGCACUUUCAGCGAGGAAGAACGCUUGUGGGUUAAUACCCUGCAAGAAGGACAUCACUCGCAGAAGAAGCACCGGCUAACUCCGUGCCAGCAGCCGCGGUAAUACGGAGGGUGCAAGCGUUAAUCGGAAUUACUGGGCGUAAAGCGCGCGUAGGCGGCUUGAUAAGCCGGUUGUGAAAGCCCCGGGCUCAACCUGGGAACGGCAUCCGGAACUGUCAGGCUAGAGUGCAGGAGAGGAAGGUAGAAUUCCCGGUGUAGCGGUGAAAUGCGUANAGAUCGGGAGGAAUACCAGUGGCGAAGGCGGCCUUCUGGACUGACACUGACNCUGAGGUGCGAAAGCGUGGGUAGCAAACAGGAUNANAUACCCUGGUAGUCCACNCCGUAAACNAUGUCGACUANCCGUNGGGNUCCUCGA